rnacentral:snRNA from 1 species
GCUCGCUUUGGCAAGCACAUAUACUAAUACAGAGAAGAUUAGCAUGGCCCCUGCGCAAGCAUGACACGCAAAUUCGCAAAUUCGUGAAGCAUUCCAUAUUUUU